GAUGAAGAACGCAGCAAAAUGCGAUAAGUAAUGUGAAUUGCAGAAUUCAGUGAAUCAUCGAAUCUUUGAACGCACAUUGCGCCCGCCAGUAUUCUGGCGGGCAUGCCUGUUCGAGCGUCAUUUCAACCCUCAAGCACAGCUUGGUGUUGGGACUCGCGUUAAUUCGCGUUCCUCAAAUUGAUUGGCGGUCACGUCGAUCUUCCAUAGCGUAGUAGUAAAACCCUCGUUACUGGUAAUCGUCGCGGCCACGCCGUUAAACCCCAACUUCUGAAUGUUGACCUCGGAUCAGGUAGGAAUACCCGCUGAACUUAAGCAUAUCAAUAAGCGGAGGA
rnacentral:misc_RNA from 1 species